rnacentral:rRNA from 1 species
GAUGAACGCUGGCGGCGUGCCUAAUACAUGCAAGUAGAACGCUGAAGGAGGAGCUUGCUCUUCUGGAUGAGUUGCGAACGGGUGAGUAACGCGUAGGUAACCUGCCUGGUAGCGGGGGAUAACUAUUGGAAACGAUAGCUAAUACCGCAUGACAACAGUUAUUGCAUGAUAACUGUUUAAAAGGGGCAACUGCUCCACUACCAGAUGGACCUGCGUUGUAUUAGCUAGUUGGUGAGGUAACGGCUCACCAAGGCGACGAUACAUAGCCGACCUGAGAGGGGGAUCGGCCACACUGGGACUGAGACACGGCCCAGACUCCUACGGGAGGCAGCAGUAGGGAAUCUUCGGCAAUGGACGGAAGUCUGACCGAGCAACGCCGCGUGAGUGAAGAAGGUUUUCGGAUCGUAAAGCUCUGUUGUAAGAGAAGAACGAGUGUGGGAGUGGAAAGUUCACACUGUGACGGUAUCUUACCAGAAAGGGACGGCUAACUACGUG